GACGUAGGAGGCGAGCGUUGUCCGGAUUCAUUGGGCGUAAAGAGCGCGCAGGCGGCUUGGUAAGUCGGAUGUGAAAACCCGAGGCUCAACCUCGGGCGUGCAUCCGAAACUGCUCGGCUAGAGGUAGGUAGGGGAGAUCGGAAUUCCUGGUGUAGCGGUGAAAUGCGCAGAUAUCAGGAGGAACACCGGUGGCGAAGGCGGAUCUCUGGGCCUUACCUGACGCUCAGGCGCGAAAGCUAGGGGAGCGAACUGG
rnacentral:rRNA from 1 species